UACGAAGGGGGCUAGCGUUGUUCGGAAUUACUGGGCGUAAAGGGCUCGUAGGCGGCCAACUAAGUCAGACGUGAAAUCCCCCAGGCUCAACCUGGGAACUGCGUCUGAUACUGGAUGGCUUGAAUCCGGGAGAGGGAUGCAGAAUUCCAGGUGUAGCGGUGAAAUGCGUAGAUAUCUGGGAGAUACCGGUGGCGAAGGCGGCAUCCUGGACCGGCAUUGACGCUGAGGAGCGAAAGCCAGGGGAGCAAACGGG
rnacentral:rRNA from 1 species